ACGGGUGAGUAACGCGUGGGAAUCUACCGUGCCCUGCGGAAUAGCUCCGGGAAACUGGAAUUAAUACCGCAUACGCCCUACGGGGGAAAGAUUUAUCGGGGUAUGAUGAGCCCGCGUUGGAUUAGCUAGUUGGUGGGGUAAAGGCCUACCAAGGCGACGAUCCAUAGCUGGUCUGAGAGGAUGAUCAGCCACACUGGGACUGAGACACGGCCCAAACUCCUACGGGAGGCAGCAGUGGGGAAUAUUGGACAAUGGGCGCAAGCCUGAUCCAGCCAUGCCGCGUGAGUGAUGAAGGCCUUAGGGUUGUAAAGCUCUUUCACCGGUGAAGAUAAUGACGGUAACCGGAGAAGAAGCCCCGGCUAACUUCGUGCCAGCAGCCGCGGUAAUACGAAGGGGGCUAGCGUUGUUCGGAAUUACUGGGCGUAAAGCGCACGUAGGCGGAUAUUUAAGUCAGGGGUGAAAUCCCAGAGCUCAACUCUGGAACUGCCUUUGAUACUGGGUAUCUUGAGUAUGGAAGAGGUAAGUGGAAUUGCGAGUGUAGAGGUGAAAUUCGUAGA
rnacentral:rRNA from 1 species